AUCCCUUCUCGGCCUUUUGGCUAAGAUCAAGUGUAGGAUCUGUUCUUAUCAGUUUAACUAAAGUACUUCUUACCUGUUAUGACCACUGAAAUUUUAAAAAAUGACUUGAAUUUUUUAGAAAAGUUUUAGAUUUAUCGAAAACCUGCAAAGAUAGCACAGAGAGUUUCCACAUGGGCCUCAGCCAGAUUCCCCCGCUGUCAAAAGCUU
ensembl:snRNA U2 U2 spliceosomal RNA